rnacentral:rRNA from 1 species
GCUUCACUGCAGGCUGGCAUUGGGUUCGGGCUUUUCUUGCGCAGUCUAGGUGGGAGGCUUUGAAGGUUCCUUCCGGGAAGCUGGAGCCAUCAGUGAGAGACCACUCUGGAAAGGCUAGAAUCCUAAUGGUGAUCCUUGAAUCAGGACACUUGACAUUGUCAGCUAGACAGUUUUUCUGGGGCGGAAGGCUCCUAAAAGGUAACGGAGCUGUGCAAAGGUUCCCUCAGUCUGGACGGAAAUCAGACGUGGAGUGUAAAGGCAAAAGGGAGCUGACUGCAAGACCUACAAGC